CGACUCUCGGCAACGGAUAUCUCGGCUCUCGCAUCGAUGAAGAACGUAGCGAAAUGCGAUACUUGGUGUGAAUUGCAGAAUCCCGUGAACCAUCGAGUCUUUGAACGCAAGUCGCGCCCCAAGCCAUUAGGCCGAGGGCACGCCUGCCUGGGUGUCACG
rnacentral:rRNA from 1 species